CCUCCCUCCUCCCGUGGUCUCAGGACGACGUCUGGGCGGCCGUUGUCAGCAAUGGGCAAGAAACACAAGAAGCACAAGAGCGAGUGGCGCUCGUACGACGAUUUCACUGAUAAACCAACUGAAAAGCCACUUAAGCUAGUACUGAAGGUGGGAGGAAGUGAAGUCACUGAGCUCUCGGGCUCAGGACAUGAUUCUAGUUAUUACGAUGAUCGAUCAGACCAUGACAGGGAGCGACACAAGGAAAAGAAAAAGAAGAAGAAAAAGAAGUCUGAGAAAGAAAAAGAUAAACAUAUUUCAGAUGAAGACCGUCGGAGGAGGAAGGAAGAGAAGAAACGAAAGCGUGAAAAGGAACAUGUCGACAGCGAAGCAGAUGCUGAUGAAUUUGACCCAGGAAAAAGGGUGGAAGUUGAGCCUCCUACAGAUCGGCCAGUCAGAUCAUGUAGAACAAAAGAACACGAAAAUGAGAACACUCCACUGCAGCAAUUGUUGGAGCAUUUUUUGCGUCAGUUACAGAGGAAAGACCCUCAUGGAUUCUUUGCAUUUCCUGUGACGGAUAGCAUUGCACCUGGCUAUUCAAUGAUAAUAAAACAUCCAAUGGAUUUCAGCACCAUGAAGGAUAAAAUCUUGACAAAUGAUUACAAUUCCAUCACAGAAUUCAAGGCUGAUUUCAAACUAAUGUGCGAUAAUGCAAUGACUUACAAUCGACCCGAAACCGUAUACUACAAGGCAGCGAAGAAAUUGCUUCACACCGGAUUUAAGAUGAUGAGUAAAGAGCGCCUGUUAGCUUUGAAGCGCAGCAUGACAUUCAUGCAGGAGAUCGAUUUUUCUCAGCAGGCAGCACUGUUAGGUGAUGAGGAUACAGGACAAGAAGAAACUGUUGCAGAAGUUACUGUGGUGCCCGUUGAAACUACUACCAAGAAAUCCAAGAAGCAGAGUAAAGAAGUCAUCAGUUAUUUGUAUGAGCCAGAAGGGACCGCAUGCAGUUCGACAGACAGUACAGCGGAGGAACAUGUGCUAGCUUUGGUGGAACAUGCAGCUGAUGAAGCUCGUGAUCGGAUCAGUAGACACGCGCCUAACAGCAAGAUUGGCUACCUUAAAAAGGAAGGAGAUGGUGCUCUGCUGUUUGCUGUUGUAAACCAAUCUGAUCCAGACACUGAAGCUGUGCAAAUUGAUCACAUCAAAAGAAUGCAUGUUCACAAUUCAAUGCUGGUGGUUGCAGAGGAAGAGAUCCACCAAGUGGAUCUGAGUUCCCUUACAACUAAGCUUCAACCAGGCAUUAAUACCAUGGGAUUUAAAGAUGACCGGAGAAACAAAGCGUUAUCAGUUACCUACUUGAACUGUGUGUAUACAGCACAGUCCAUACAAAACAACACCGUCUUUCCCAACCUUACUCCAGAGGAAACAGAGCUAUUGUAUUCUACAUAUGGAGAAGAGACUGGGGUACAGUGCGCCUUAAGUUUACAAGAGUUUGUUAAAGACUGUGGAGGCUCCACAAAGAAAAUGGUAGACGACUUGUUGAAUCAGAUGACAGGUGGUGAACAUUGCAAAGCAGUCUAUCAUUUGGCACAGAAAAGAAAUAUUGAACAGAAAGCAAGUAAAGACAUCAAAUUGAGUCUCGACGAAGUGCAGAUCCCAGCAGUCUUCAUAAAAGAAGAACCUAAAAUGCAGCCCACUUGUCCUGAAACGUCUAAACCAAUCGUGGUUGGAGGGGCAAGUGGCAGUACUGGAGAGAACCAACCCCCUGUCCUAGAUUUCAUGCCUUUGAAAUCUUACUCUGACGUUUCCUUGGAUAUUUCUCUAUUGACUUCAUUAGAUUUGUGUUGGAACACACUACUUACUGACUUGCUUUUACUUUUGAACCGGGAAUGAUUGGAGCAAGUUGUAAAAAAAAAGUGUUACGCUGCUUAUGGUGGAGAAAAAAUAUAAAGAAGUGUGUACAGACGGGGCAGAGGCUGUGGCUGUUCCAGACAAGUUUGGAGUUGGAAUUUCCACAGAGUUUGAUGCAGAAGCGGAAGGAUAAGCUGCUGGUGUUUACUCAAAAGUUCAAAAGGGGAAAAAAAAAGUCUUCAACUCUGCUUUCUUCACAUGGGUCAAAAACAAACAUACUGAAGGUACUAUGUUCCCACCUAGUCCAAUAUCUGGCCUUAUUCUGCUGGAAAAUCUGUGAGGUUUGUGAAAGAGUUUGAGGAUAACGGUUUUCAUUGGAGUGUGGGGUAGUUAAUACAACAAAACAAAGGAGGGUUGUUUUCAUCUAUACUAUGGGCAAAACAUUCCAUGCCCAAUUUGCAAAAUGCAUUUAAAAGUGAUUGUAUUUUAUUCUGUAUUCCUGUGCAUUUUGUUUACUAAAUUGCAUUAAUAUUUGGUAAUCUGAACUGCUAAUCAUCUGGACAGAAAACAGUGGAUACAAUGGAACAGAGUCAUUUGGAUAAUCGGCGAUAUGGUGCAUAUAACAGGACAAUUCCUAUCCUAUGUUUAAAGGCAAAUAUAUCAUUUGCAUAUAUUCUGAUUACAUAUGCAAAUAUUUUAUUUUGUGUUAUAUUUACUAUACUAUAUUUUUCUAUAAUCUGCUACAAAAUAUUAAUAGAAUAUCUUUUUAUAUCUUAUGUAACAUCUGGCAGUAUAUUUUAAGCAGUAAUUCAAUCUUGUGUUUUAUUGUUUUUAUGAGCUCUACCUUCCUUAUGGUUUGAUGUAACUGAACUACGCUCUUAAUCAAUGGUUUCAAGCUUGCUACCAAUCAUUUCAUCUCUAUAAUUGAGAUGUGUUUUUUGUCAAACUCAUCCUCAGUGUUAGAAUUGUAUUAAGGAUUAUAUGUUUUGAGGAGUUAAUGCAAAAGUGUUGUGGAGAAAGUGUUAACUUUUUUUUUCCUCUCCUCUUCUGAGUCACUUACAUCGACACUUCCUCAAGCAGCUGGUUGAGUGAGCGAAUAUGGUUCAGACUCCACUGCAACAUCUCAACUCCUGCAGAUCCAUUGAUAAUUGCUGUCAUUUGAACAUUUCCACCUGGGGAAAUCGGUGAAGAAGGAGCCAGAUCAUGAUGAUAACCAGAGGAAUCUAGAUGAGACUACAAA